rnacentral:rRNA from 1 species
GUUUAAAGGGUGCGUAGGCGGCCUGUUAAGUCAGGGGUGAAAGACGGUAGCUCAACUAUCGCAGUGCCCUUGAUACUGAUGGGCUUGAAUUGACUAGAGGUAGGCGGAAUGUGACAAGUAGCGGUGAAAUGCAUAGAUAUGUCACAGAACACCGAUUGCGAAGGCAGCUUACUAUGGUCUUAUUGACGCUGAGGCACGAAAGCGUGGGGAUCAAACAGGAUUAGAUACGU